CCACCUAUACAAGAGAAAGACGAUCCAGACUGCAUAUCGUCGUUAGAAGAAUGCAGAAAACCAAUGAAAACAUCAGCUGUAUAGGGCAAAAGACGAACAAAUCGUUCCGUCUUUGAUUGUGACAGCAAGACAAUGCCAAAAAACCUGAACAACAAGACCAAUCCUCCUCCUUUUGCUUGUCUUUUGUUCUUAUGUAUCAAACAAAUUUUUGUUUUUCUUUCUUGUCUGACAGUCAUCGAUUGUUGUGGCUGUCCGAAUAAAACGGUGCAUGGGCCAUCACUGCAUCAAAAAAGAAAAAAAUGAAUAAGCCAUGGCCGGUCGUCCCAUCACGGGGCUUGGCGCAUCUUCCAUGUCGGGACUUUGGGGCGUCGCGGCGCCAGUCGGCCAUCACCUUUCAGCUAUGACCAGUGAAGCAACUGUACAGGCAACAUCGCGCCAAUUGAACAACAUCAAAUGGCUAAUAUAUGUGAGAAAUGGUUUAAUUUUUAAUUUUAUUUUUAGAGUGGAGGGGAUGAAAAUUAGCAGAAACAGCUGGAUUAAAUAAUUUAAUCGAUCAAUAGAACUCAAAAUAAUGAAAGGAAUUGGAGAAAUAAACGAUUUGGCAACCGACCACGAGAGAAGCUUACCUAACCUCCUGCACUUGCAUUAUGAUUUCUCAUUUUCUCUUCUACGGACAGACGACUCCACGUUUUGUCGCGUCAAUUUUAUUUUUCUAAAAUGUUAGUAUCUCAAAGAAGUGAGCUGAGCUAUUUUGAUAUGAAUCGUAAUAAACGUGAAUGGAUUACACCAAAACAGGUGUACCACUAGAAGCGUGUGUCUUUUCCUUUUGUUUUUCUGUUUUCGGGUUUUUCUGUUUUUGGCUACUGUGCUCGACUAUUAAUGGUGGACAUUCCAGCACACCCUGCAUCGAUGGAAUUGCUGCUUAAACAGAUGGAGGCAUCAUUGCAUCAUCAUCGGUCAAACUUCGUCUAAGUUGAGACAAGAGAGGCGCCAUGGCAAUUGGAUCAACCCGACACAUCUUUAUUCCUAAUGAAAUCCCAGCAACAUUUCACAUGCCCGUCAUCGUCUUAACUGUUCUGAUUGAUUUGCAGGCCAGCCGUCAAUGGGAAGACCUGGCAUUCGAGAACGACUGAUCAAUUUGACUGCUAGUCGCCGAUUACUUGUGCACGGGCAGUGCUGCUCGUGGGCAAUAAACGGAUUUGGAUCGAUCGAGAGAAUAGCGCCAACUCUCUCUACGCGUAAAUUUCUCUCUAUAUAUGCGAGGAGAAAGAAGAACGAUGGCAGCACUAUAAAUCCCAUUACAUUCCAUUAGCAACUCUCACCCUCAUCUUUUUAUCAGGUGACUAAAAACUCUUUUAGCAAGACUGAAAAGAUUAACACCCAAUACAGCGAGAAAAUAUAUCGUUUGUAUUAUCAGAAAAGGAGCUGGAUUUUUAAAAAAGGGGGUUUACAGAAAAUGGACGAGAAAUAUGAUUGAAUUAGUUUCACUUUUUGAGGAUUCAUCAUGAACGGAUUCCAAAUGGUGUCAUAUUGAGCACGUGAUAUUGGCUAUUGUUGUACCAAACUACUUUUAUAUUGCACUAGUGCUCAUUUAUGGCUGAGAUGCACCGUUGCAUUGCGGCGUGGAAGAGGCAGGGAUCGAAUGGAUGGGUGCCGUCAUCGGUGGAAGGAAAUGAGCCCUGAGCUGAUCGCUCAACCGACCAACUUCUCCGUCUUCUUUUUCCAAAGAUCGCACCAGUUGUAAAAACUGCGCUGCACCUGCCGAAAGGAAGAAGCAAAUGUCAACUUGAAAAGUCAUCAAUAACUGCACACAAAAAAUGAGGGAUUCAUUGCGUCAGAUCGCCAUCGGUAAGUCGGGCCAACAAAAACAAAACUCGUUCGUUUGAAUUCUAAUCUACAUAAUAUGUCGGCAUCAUUGUCGGAUGAAGAAAAGGGAUUCUGCGAAAGGUAAAAGAUGUGAGGGACAAACAUUUCUGAGAUGCAUGUGAUCUCCUAUACAUCCACUAAGCCACAAUAAAGGACUGGUGAUGCUGAGGAAUGAGAGCAUCACUAACAAAAAUUUGCAUCUGUAUUCCAAAAUUGGGAGGGACACGAUAGUAACCUUCAACUUUUCACAGUCUUUGAAAAUAUGUUUGCCUACAUGUACCAAUCUAAUCUCUAUACAACUGCAUUUUGCAUUUUGUGUCCCUGACCUGGGAAAUUUUUCAUUCCCAAUGUUAAUGAUAAAUUGGCAUCUAACUGACAAACAUGCAUUAAACUUGGUAGUUUUUUUUCUUACCUUCGCCAUCUCCAGGAAAGCCAAAACGUUGAAUGACCUGAAGGACAAACAAAUUGGUUAUUGCAGCAAUUUAAAAAUAUUUAAGCAGAAACAGGAGAAGAAAGUAGCAAACCUCAAGCUGAAUCUGGGUGACUAUUGGGAAAACCUCCCUCAUGACUUUGACCAUGUCGGUGCCAGCAAGUUCUCUAGCACGGGCCAACCUCUCUGCAUUUCCUGGUUGGCUCAAAGCUGCCAAUAUAUCAGUGCAUGCUUCUGUUUUCAAGUUCAUUGGGUUUGAAAUGACAUCUUACAUGUGUAUUUUAUUUUAUUUUUUACAAUUAAAACGGUCUAACCUCUU
rnacentral:lncRNA from 1 species